rnacentral:rRNA from 1 species
AUUGAACGCUGGCGGCAGGCUUAACACAUGCAAGUCGAGCGGGGUGAUGGUGCUUGCACUAUCACUUAGCGGCGGACGGGUGAGUAAUGCUUAGGAAUCUGCCUAUUAGUGGGGGACAACAUCUCGAAAGGGAUGCUAAUACCGCAUACGUCCUACGGGAGAAAGCAGGGGAUCACUUGUGACCUUGCGCUAAUAGAUGAGCCUAAGUCGGAUUAGCUAGUUGGUGGGGUAAAGGCCUACCAAGGCGACGAUCUGUAGCGGGUCAGAGAGGAUGAACCGCCACACUGGGACUGAGACACGGCCCAGACUCCUACGGGAGGCAGCAGUGGGGAAUAUUGGACAAUGGGGGGAACCCUGAUCCAGCCAUGCCGCGUGUGUGAAGAAGGCCUUAUGGUUGUAAAGCACUUUAAGCGAGGAGGAGGCUCUUUUGGUUAAUACCCAAGAUGAGUGGACGUUACUCGCAGAAUAAGCACCGGCUAACUCUGUGCCAGCCGCCGCUGUAA